rnacentral:lncRNA from 1 species
AAAAAAUAAACAUGCUAUGAUGCAAAUGAUGCAGACACGACUGGCUGGCGGUGCAUCUCAAAACGCAGGAUCGAAGCUUCGGUUUAAACUCAGAACCCCAAAUCCAUCUAAAACCCAAAGUCAACUGAGAAAUGUCAUCUGAACCCAAAGUCACCAACAGGACCACAAGUCACCAACGGUACCUGUAAUAAUGAUCAAUCCCUCCCCACUCACAGGUGUCGUCUAGGCCAGGGUAAGGUCGAGAGAAACGCAAC